AGAGUUUGAUCCUGGCUCAGGACGAACGCUGGCGGCGUGCCUAAUACAUGCAAGUCGAGCGGAUCUUCAUUAGCUUGCUUUUGAAGAUCAGCGGCGGACGGGUGAGUAACACGUGGGCAACCUGCCUGUAAGACUGGGAUAACUUCGGGAAACCGGAGCUAAUACCGGAUAAUCCUUUCCCUCUCAUGAGGGAAAGCUGAAAGACGGUUUCGGCUGUCACUUACAGAUGGGCCCGCGGCGCAUUAGCUAGUUGGUGAGGUAACGGCUCACCAAGGCGACGAUGCGUAGCCGACCUGAGAGGGUGAUCGGCCACACUGGGACUGAGACACGGCCCAGACUCCUACGGGAGGCAGCAGUAGGGAAUCUUCCGCAAUGGACGAAAGUCUGACGGAGCAACGCCGCGUGAGCGAUGAAGGCCUUCGGGUCGUAAAGCUCUGUUGUCAGGGAAGAACAAGUACCGGAGUAACU
rnacentral:rRNA from 1 species